UAGGGAAUCUUCCACAAUGGGCGAAAGCCUGAUGGAGCAACGCCGCGUGUGUGAUGAAGGGUUUCGGCUCGUAAACACUGUUGUAAGAGAAGAAUGACAUUGAGAGUAACUGUUCAAUGUGUGACGGUAUCUUACCAGAAAGGAACGGCUAAAUACGCGCCAG
rnacentral:rRNA from 1 species